UUAGUUGAUGUGAUUGUUCCA
rnacentral:piRNA from 1 species